rnacentral:lncRNA from 1 species
GAUGACUAGAUGCAUACAAAUGAAAGAAACAAUCAUCACGUAUCAAAACAAUCAAAAGCAAGACAUCUCUUGUGCUCACAAAUGGUGACUAAAGUCAUGAAGUCCCUAAAUCAAAUUCUAGGUGAUAUCCUAAGGUUCAACAUUAUUAUGGGUCGCACCUAAAUCAUUCAUCUAACGAUCACAUGUGAAGCGUAUAACGUGACAAGCAUUCAAGCCAUAUGACCUUGGUUCUUAAUCAAUCCAAACCAAUGAGUGAACCAACUAAGGAUCACUCAUUCAAACACAUGCACCAUUGAAUUCGCUCAACACAUGUAUUCAAGGGGAAUGAAGCAGUCAAUAUGUAACCCACGUGAUAACUAAAACCGUUUUAUAGACAAUUGACAAAGGACAUCAUUUUAAAAGAUUUGAUAAAAAGGGAGAUAUCAGUUCAUCAAGUCAUGGAAUGUAUCUAGUCAUCAAGGUAAGCUUAGGUGCAUCAUGGGCACAACUGAUCAAGCUUCAAGGACGUUCUAAACAUGUUUCAAACCUCAGAUAGCAUUGAUGUCAAGCCAAAAGCAUGAUUCAGAAAUUUGGAAAUACAACAUGAAAACUUGGAAAUUUUAUGCAUCACGAACCAGAUCAUUUAGUAAGUGACACAAUUGGGAUGUAAGAACACAACGUUUCAUAGACACUGAAGCAUAAGAGAACAUAAACUUUUGAAAGCAAAGGGAA